UUUCCCCCAAAUUAAACCCCAUAACCUAUUUCCCUCCUACUCCAAAAUUCAUCAUAAUCGUUUUCUGCUCUGGUUUACACCUCACGCUUCCUGUUCAUCUGCUUACAAAUCAUCAACGAAUAAACUUCCACUCAUUCACUGAUCAACACGCAAAUCAAGCAAAAGUUCUUCAGAUAAAGAUUAUUAGAAAGUGUAGAUAAGGUGUUCGACGUUAUGUUUCGUUGGAGCGGAGCAGUCAUGAUUCUACUUGUCUAGGCAUCGAGCGUUAGAGAAACUGAGCAGGUCGGAGAUAAAGUUUUCCUCAAAAGCAUUCUAAACUCUACCGAGACUGUAGCAAGAGAAAGGGUCCAGAGCUUGGACCCAAAUGAUCUAGUUGGUGGUACAGAGAUUGGACUAGAAUGGUGUGAGGUAAACAUUCAAGUACCAAUAAAAAAAGAUGAAAACUUGGUAAGACCAUAUGGUUUAUUUUCUACAAUUC
rnacentral:lncRNA from 1 species